GCGAGUGAAGCGGGAAGAGCUCAAAUUUAAAAUCUGGCAGGCUACGCUUGUCCGAAUUGUAAUCUCGAGAAGUGUUUUCCGCGUUGGCCUGUGUACAAGUCCCUUGGAACAGGGCGUCAUAGAGGGUGAGAAUCCCGUCCUUGACACAGACACCCAAUGCUUUGUGAUACACUCUCAAUGAGUCGAGUUGUUUGGGAAUGCAGCUCAAAAUGGGUGGUAAAUUCCAUCUAAAGCUAAAUACUGGCGAGAGACCGAUAGCGAACAAGUACCGUGAGGGAAAGAUGAAAAGCACUUUGGAAAGAGAGUCAAACAGUACGUGAAAUUGUUGAAAGGGAAACGAUUGAAGUCAGUCGUGCCUGCCUAGAUUCAGCCUUCUGGUGUAUUUCUAGGUUGGCAGGUCAGCAUCAGUUUGGGGGGGUUAACAAGGGAAUUGGGAAUGUGGCAACCUCGGUUGUGUUAUAGCCCAGUUUCGCAUUGAUCUCGCUGGACUGAGGAACGCAGUGCGCCCGCAAGGGUUGGUCUUCGGACACAUUCGCACUUAGGAUGCUGGCAUAAUGGCUUUAAACGACCC
rnacentral:rRNA from 1 species